CCUAAUCAAGAUAUUGGAAGAGCAGCAGAGUCAAGGUAUAAUUCCACUGAAAAAGAAUCUGAUACUAGAUCUUUUCCGAAGAACAAGAAUCUGGGUAAUGAGGAUGUGACACUAUCUUAUUCGCAAGAGGCUGCAAAUAAUAAUCCUGGGCCUGUGACUGGCCCAGCUCGAAUAAAUGAUGUAUUCUGGGAACAAUUCCUUACUGAAAGACCUGGUUCUUCAGAUAAUGAAGAGGCAAGUUCUUGUUAUAGGGCAAAUCCACAGGAAGAGCAAGAAGAUAGAAGGCCGGGCCAAGGAAUAUCCAGAAAUACUAAGAAUAUAGAACAGCUUACUCUUUGAGCACCGAAGUCAAUAAACCCUGUGGAAGUUUGCAAAAGGAAUGUUUACAGUUUCCCAUGUGCCAUGGUUCUGAAGAUUGCAAUGAUUGCGUGGCCUUAAUUAAUUCUGUGAUUGUCUUCAGAUCCAGCUGUUGGUCUUCCUGAUGUACAUAUUUCUUGUAUUAGAAAUUCUAAUUGAGUUUCUGACUUGAAGUCCAUAUUAAGAUGUCAAACCAUUCUUCCUGAAUAAUUCUUCUAUAUAUGCUACACUGUUUCUGUUACCA